AAAUUGAAGAGUUUGAUCAUGGCUCAGAUUGAACGCUGGCGGCAGGCCUAACACAUGCAAGUCGAACGGUAACAGGAAGCAGCUUGCUGCUUCGCUGACGAGUGGCGGACGGGUGAGUAAUGUCUGGGAAACUGCCUGAUGGAGGGGGAUAACUACUGGAAACGGUGGCUAAUACCGCAUAAUGUCGCAAGACCAAAGAGGGGGACCUUCGGGCCUCUUGCCAUCAGAUGUGCCCAGAUGGG
rnacentral:rRNA from 1 species